AUUGAACGCUGGCGGCAGGCCUAACACAUGCAAGUCGAGCGGAGCGACGGACGGGUGGGUAAUACCUAGGAAUCUGCCUGAUAGUGGGGGAUAACGUUCGGAAACGAACGCUAAUAACGCAUGCUAUCAGAUGGGCCUAGGUCGGAUUAGCUAGUUGGUGAGGUAAUGGCUCACCAAGGCGACGAUCCGUACCUGGUCUGAGAGGAUGAUCAGUCACACUGGAACUGAGACACGGUCCAGACUCCUACGGGAGGCAGCAGUGGGGAAUAUUGGACAAUGGGCGAAAGCCUGAUCCAGCCAUGCCGCGUGUGUGAAGAAGGUCUUCGGAUUGUAAAGCACUUUAAGCUGGGAGGCGUUACCGACAGAAGAAGCACCGGCUAACUCUGUGCCAGCAGCCGCGGUAAUAC
rnacentral:rRNA from 1 species